UGAAAAGUCAUGGUCCUACCUUUUAGG
rnacentral:piRNA from 1 species